UACGAAGGGGGCUAGCGUUACUCGGAAUUACUGGGCGUAAAGGGCGCGUAGGCGGCGCUCCAAGUUAGGCGUGAAAGUCCUGGGCUCAACCUGGGAACUGCGCUUAAGACUGGAGUGCUUGAGGAUGGAAGAGGGUCGUGGAAUUCCCAGUGUAGAGGUGAAAUUCGUAGAUAUUGGGAAGAACACCGGUGGCGAAGGCGGCGACCUGGUCCAUUACUGACGCUGAGGCGCGAUAGCGUGGGGAGCAAACGGG
rnacentral:rRNA from 1 species